UACGUAGGGGGCAAGCGUUGUCCGGAAUUAUUGGGCGUAAAGAGCGCGUAGGCGGUCCGCUAAGUCGGCUGUGAAAGUCAGGGGCUCAACCCUUGGAAGCCGGCCGAUACUGUCGGACUAGAGUCCGGAAGAGGCGAGUGGAAUUCCCGGUGUAGCGGUGAAAUGCGCAGAUAUCGGGAGGAACACCAAUGGCGAAGGCAGCUCGCUGGGACGGUACUGACGCUGAGGCACGAAAGCGUGGGGAGCAAACAGG
rnacentral:rRNA from 1 species